UACAGAGGUCUCAAGCGUUGUUCGGAUUCAUUGGGCGUAAAGGGUCCGUAGGUGGCGCCGUAAGUCGGGUGUGAAAUUUCGGAGCUUAACUCCGAGACUGCAUUCGAUACUGCGGUGCUUGAGGACUGGAGAGGAGACUGGAAUUCAUGGUGUAGCAGUGAAAUGCGUAGAGAUCAUGAGGAAGACCAGUGGCGAAGGCGGGUCUCUGGACAGUUCCUGACACUGAGGCACGAAGGCCAGGGGAGCAAACGGG
rnacentral:rRNA from 1 species